rnacentral:rRNA from 1 species
CCUACGGGAGGCAGCAGUGAGGAAUAUUUGUCAAUGGACGAGAGUCUGAACCAGCCAAGUAGCGUGAAGGAUGACUGCCCUAUGGGUUGUAAACUUCUUUUAUAUGGGAAUAAAAUGUUCCACGUGUGGGAUUUUGUAUGUACCCUAUGAAUAAGGAUCGGCUAACUCCGUGCCAGCAGCCGCGGUAAUACGGAGGAUCCGAGCGUUAUCCGGAUUUAUUGGGUUUAAAGGGAGCGUAGGUGGAGUGUUAAGUCAGUUGGGAAAGUUUGCGGCUCAACCGUAAAAUUGCAGUUGAAACUGGCAGUCUUGAGUACAGUAGAGGUGGGCGGAAUUCGUGGUGUAGCGGUGAAAUGCUUAGAUAUCACGAAGAACUCCGAUUGCGAAGGCAGCUCACUGGACUGCAACUGACACUGAGGCUCGAAAGUGUGGGUAUCAAACAGGAUUAGAUACCCGAGUAGUC